rnacentral:rRNA from 1 species
AUUGAACGCUGGCGGCAGGCCUAACACAUGCAAGUCGAACGAGUGGCGGACGUGUGAGUAGUGUCUGGGAAACUGCCUGAUGGAGGGGGAUCACUCCUGGAAACGGUAGCUAAUACCACAUACCAUCGUAUGUGCCCAGGUGGGAUUAGCUAGUGGGGGGGGUAAAGGCUUACCAAGGCGACGAUCCCUAAGUUGUCUGAGAGGAUGAACAGCCACACUGGAACUGAGACACGGUCCAGACUCCUACGGGAGGCAGCAGUGGGGAAUAUUGGACAAUGGGCGAAAGCCUGAUCCAGCCAUGCAGCGUGUGGGAAGAAGGUCUUCGGAUUGUAAAGCACUUUAAGUGGGGAGGCGUUACCCACAGAAUAAGCACCGGCUAACUUCGUGCCAGCAGCCGCGGUAAUAC